UGCACAGCUGUGCGGAGGGGUGGGGGGUUGUAAACCUCCCCAUGGGGGGCGACCUGUGGGGUGG
rnacentral:tRNA from 1 species